UGGGGAAUAUUGCACAAUGGGCGAAAGCCUGAUGCAGCAACACCGCGUGAGUGAUGAAGGUCUUCGGAUUGUAAAGCUCUGUCUUUUGGGACGAUAAUGACGGUACCAAAGGAGGAAGCCACGGCUAACUACGUGCCAGCAGCCGCGGUAAUACGUAGGUGGCGAGCGUUGUCCGGAUUUACUGGGCGUAAAGGGUGCGUAGGCGGAUGUUUAAGUGAGAUGUGAAAUACCCGGGCUUAACUUGGGUGCUGCAUUUCAAACUGGAUAUCUAGAGUGCAGGAGAGGAGAAUGGAAUUCCUAGUGUAGCGGUGAAAUGCGUAGAGAUUAGGAAGAACACCAGUGGCGAAGGCGAUUCUCUGGACUGUAACUGACGCUGAGGCACGAAAGCGUGGGUAGCAAACAGGAUUAGAUACCCUGGUAGUCCACGCCGUAAACGAUGAGUACUAGGUGUAGGAGGUAUCGACCCCUUCUGUGCCGCAGUAAACAC
rnacentral:rRNA from 1 species